rnacentral:rRNA from 1 species
AGAAUCAACGCUGGCGGCGUGCCUAACACAUGCAAGUCGCACGAGAAAGGGUAGCAAUACCUGAGUACAGUGGCGCACGGGUGAGUAACACGUGAAUAAUCUACCUCCGAGUGGGGAAUAACUGAGAGAAAUCUUAGCUAAUACCGCAUAAUACCCACGGGUCAAAGCAGCAAUGCGCUUGGAGAGGAGUUCGCGGCAGAUUAGUUAGUUGGCGGGGUAAUGGCCCACCAAGACGAUGAUCUGUAUCCGGCCUGAGAGGGCGCACGGACACACUGGAACUGAAACACGGUCCAGACUCCUACGGGAGGCAGCAGUGGGGAAUUUUUGCGCAAUGGGGGAAACCCUGACGCAGCAACGCCGCGUGGAGGAUGAAGCCCCUUGGGGUGUAAACUCCUUUCGAUCGGGAAGAUAAUGACGGUACCGAUAUAAGAAGCCCGGCUAACUUCGCGCCAGCAGCCGC